UGUUGCAGUUAACGCUCGUAGUCGGAUUUUGGUGCGCGCCGGGCUGUGCGCGUAGUGCGUGCGGCGCGGGGCGUGCUUUUGUGGAGGGCGGCCGCUCGUGGCUUUGCUGUUGCGGGUGUGUCGGCGCCACCGUUUACUGUGAAAAAAUUAGAGUGUUCAAAGCAGGCGUUUGCCGUGAAUACAUUAGCAUGGAAUAAUAGAAUAGGACUCGUACCUAUUUUGUUGGUUUGUGAGGGCCGAGUAAUGAUUAAGAGGGACGGUUGGGGGCAUUUGUAUUCCGGCGUCAGAGGUGAAAUUCUUGGAUUGCCGGAAGACAAACCGCUGCGAAAGCGUCUGCCAAGGACGUUUUCAUUGAUCAAGAACGAAAGUAAGGGGAUCGAAGACGAUCAGAUACCGUCGUAGUCUUUACUAUAAACGAUGAGAACUGGGGAUCGGGCGGGCAUUAUGAUGACCCGUCCGGGACCCUCCGGGAAACCAAAGUGUUUGCUUUCUGGGGGGAGUAUGGUCGCAAGGCUGAAACUUAAAGGAAUUGACGGAAGGGCAUCACCGGGUGUGGAGCCUGCGGCUUAAUUUGACUCAACACGGGAAAACUUACCAGGUCCGGACAUAGUGAGGAUUGACAGAUUGAGAGCUCUUUCUUGAUUCUAUGGUUGGUGG
rnacentral:rRNA from 1 species